UUUUUUUUUUUGAACUCAUCAAGAAAUGCACUGCCACUAGCUACAUAUUAAUCCAUUCACAGUAAAAAGAAGAUGAUGGCCGACCACUCACAUUUAAAUUUUCCUGAAUGGAAGGGACCUAAAACGCUUACCCUACUACAAAACCAAACCAAAUUGUUAUCGUAGAAUCAAAGCGUGCUGACAGGUCCAUUGAUGAAAAUCACCAGUCAUAACAACUCGUUAAGUCGGCAAACAAUAAGAAAGAAACUACAAUGCUAUGACAACAAAAUGAGCUCUCUGUACAUGACAGAUCUUAAGCCAUUGUAAGUAGCCAAGUACACAAUGGCACAAAGAAACUAGCAUAUAUACUUAUUCAUAUGAUGUCCCUUCAUGUUCUCAAUCGUCUAACUGGUGAUCGGCUGCGAUAUCUUCCAUACUNCUUCGAGUCCUACCAUAAUCAGGACUCCUGCGCCUGUCAUAAGCUGGACCAUUGUACCUGUCAUACACUGGGCUGCGAGCUCUACCAUAAUCAGGACUAGGUCUCCUGCGAUACACAGGGCUUGGAGACCUUCCAUGAUAACUUCCUCUCCUAGGACUAUCAUAUCUGUCUCCCCUCUCACCAUCAUCCCUCAAAGCAUACUCAACUGACACCACCCUGUCCAAUAUUUUGCUCAUGUGUGUACACUCGAGGGCUUUGGUAGCAUCUUCCUGUGUCUCAAACUGCACAAAUGCAAAAUUCCUCCGAAUCCUAACAUGGAGAACUUCCCCAAAUCUUUCAAAGUGACUCUUUAUGUCUUCAACCCUAGUGCGAAUUGGAUCAAAAUUAAUUACAAAAAGGGUCUUAGUGGGCUUCUGGUUUGUUAUGGACCUGGACCCAUCAUGAUGCCGACCACGUUCACCCCUAGCCCACUCCACAGAUAGCCUGCGUCUGUCAUAACCAAAUGGCAUGUUGUCAAGUCCAUGAAUGGCAUCUGCUGCAUCACGUUCAUCCCCAAAAUAAACAAAGGCAAAACCAGAUUUCAUGUCCACUCGCUCCACCCUUCCGUACUUGCCGAACAGGCGUUCCAAUUCAGAUUGGCGAGUCUCGUACUCAAAGUUUCCAACGAAAACCGGCCGCGCCAUCUUUGCAAUAGAAUUUCCCCCUCUAAAACCUCAACAAAACACCCGAAAAUAAAAUCAAAACCAACGCCCAAUGUUCAUACACAAUGAAUUACCAAAAAAAAAGGCGCAUUAAGGUAACGUUUGUAAAUCCUUUACUUUAUUGUCAACCAAAAGACCAACACAAU
rnacentral:misc_RNA from 1 species